rnacentral:tRNA from 1 species
GCGGUCAUGGCGGAAUGGCAGACGCGCUAGCUUGAGGGGCUAGUGAGAGAAAUCUCGUGGAAGUUCAAAUCUUCUUGGCCGCA